CACCCGUUCCCAUUCCGAACACGACGGUUAAGACCUAGGCGGUCGAUGGUACUUGGUGGGCAGCUGCCUGGGAGAGUAGAUGGUCGCCGGAA
rnacentral:rRNA from 1 species